CGCGGUAAUUCCAGCUCCAAUAGCGUAUACUAAAGUGUUGCAGUUAAAAAGCUCGUAGUUGGAUUUCUGGCGGGGACGGCUGGUCGGUCUCGAAAGGGGCUGUACUGUUGUUGGUUCCCGUCAUCCUUGGGGAGAGCGGCUCUUACAUUAAGUUGUCGGCGUCGGGAUCCCUAUCUUUUACUGUGAAAAAAUUAGAGUGUUCAAAGCAGGCUUAGGCCCUGAAUACAUUAGCAUGGAAUAAUAAGAUACGACCUUGGUGGACUAUUUUGUUGGUUUGCACGCCAAGGUAAUGAUUAAUAGGGAUAGUUGGGGGUAUUCGUAUUCAAUUGUCAGAGGUGAAAUUCUUGGAUUUAUGGAAGACGAACUACUGCGAAAGCAUUUACCAAGGAUGUUUUCAUUAAUCAAGAACGAAAGUUAGGGGAUCGAAGAUGAUUAGAUACCAUCGUAGUCUUGACCAUAAACUAUGCCGACUAGGGAUCGGUGGGUGCAUUUUUAGGCCUCAUCGGCACCUUAUGAGAAAUCAAAGUCUUUGGGUUCCGGGGGGAGUAUGGUCGCAAGGCUGAAACUUAAAGAAAUUGACGG
rnacentral:rRNA from 1 species